GGGAUCGCCCAGGAGAAUGAAGUCUGACCAUAGUGCAAGAACAACACUGGCAACAGUACUGCAGGUGGUUCUUCUACUCUGUUUGAAGACUACUUGGGUUCAGUUCACUUUCCAUACCCAUUCAUUCAUUGGCCUCA
rnacentral:sRNA from 1 species